GAUGAACGCUGGCGGCGUGCUUAACACAUGCAAGUCGAACGAUGAAGCCCAGCCUGCUGGGCGGAUUAGUGGCGAACGGGUGAGUAACACGUGAGUAACCUGCCCUUGACUCUGGGAUAAGCCCGGGAAACUGGGUCUAAUACCGGAUAGGAGCGCCUGUCGCAUGACGGGUGCUGGAAAGAUUUUUCGGUCAUGGAUGGACUCGCGGCCUAUCAGCUUGUUGGUGAGGUAACGGCUCACCAAGGCGACGACGGGUAGCCGGCCUGAGAGGGUGACCGGCCACACUGGGACUGAGACACGGCCCAGACUCCUACGGGAGGCAGCAGUGGGGAAUAUUGCACAAUGGGCGGAAGCCUGAUGCAGCGACGCCGCGUGAGGGAUGACGGCCUUCGGGUUGUAAACCUCUUUCAGUAGGGAAGAAAGCGAAAGUGACGGUACCUGCAGAAGAGC
rnacentral:rRNA from 1 species